AGUGAACGCUGGCGGCAGGCCUAAUACAUGCAAGUCGAACGGCAGCACAGCAGAGCUUGCUCUGUGGGUGGCGAGUGGCGGACGGGUGAGGAAUACGUGGGAAUCUGCCCAGUCGUGGGGGAUAACGUAGGGAAACUUACGCUAAUACCGCAUGCGCCCUUCGGGGAAAGCCGGGGACCUUCGGGCCUGGCGCGAUUGGAUGAGCCCACGUCGGAUUAGCUAGUUGGCGGGUAAAGGCCCACCAAGGCGACGAUCCGUAGCUGGUCUGAGAGGAUGAUCAGCCACACUGGAACUGAGACACGGUCCAGACUCCUACGGGAGGCAGCAGUAGGGAAUAUUGGACAAUGGGCGCAAGCCUGAUCCAGCCAUGCCGCGUGAGUGAAGAAGGCCCUCGGGUUGUAAAGCUCUUUGUCCGGAAAGAAAAGACGCCGGGUUAAAUGCCCUGGUGUCCUGACGGUACCGGAAGAAUAAGCACCGGCUAACUUCGUGCCAGCAGCCGCGGU
rnacentral:rRNA from 1 species